AAAAAGCAACACUUAUUUUUGUUCGUUCUUCUCUUCCUUCUUCCUUCUUCUUCCUCUACAUUACUAACCCCCUCGGCUUUGCCCUAGAUUUUCUCCGCCAUCGUAAUCCUUCAUCGAUUGCCUUCGAAUUCCUUUGCACGUAUCUAGGGUUUCCAUGGAUUCCGAGGACGAUAUGCACGACGCCACGAUGUGGAGUCACUCGACGAAGAUUUCUACAGUGGCGAGACCGAAGAAGCUCCCAUGGAUUACAAUGACUACGAUGACGAUGCCGAUGACUACUUCGACGAUGCUGAUGAUUCUGAUAGGAUUGAGUCUCGCCGCCAUGAGCAAAAUUUUACCAUAUUGAAGGAAUCGGAUAUUCAGCAAAGGCAGGAAGAUGACAUCACUAGAGUGGCAACCGUUCUUUCAAUAUCACGAGUUGCUGCGAGUAUCCUGCUUCGUCAUUACAAUUGGAGUGUUAGUAAAG